UGGGGAAUUUUGGACAAUGGGCGAAAGCCUGAUCCAGCAAUGCCGCGUGUGUGAAGAAGGCCUUCGGGUUGUAAAGCACUUUUGUCCGGAAAGAAAUGGCUCUGGUUAAUACCUGGGGUCGAUGACGGUACCGGAAGAAUAAGGACCGGCUAACUACGUGCCAGCAGCCGGGGUAAUACGUAGGGUCCAAGGGUUAAUCGGAAUUACUGGGCGUAAAGCGUGCGCAGGCGGUUGUGCAAGACCGAUGUGAAAUCCCCGAGCUUAACUUGGGAAUUGGAUUGGUGACUGCACGGCUAGAGUGUGUCAGAGGGGGGUAGAAUUCCACGUGUAGCAGUGAAAUGCGUAGAGAUGUGGAGGAAUACCGAUGGCGAAGGCAGCCCCCUGGGAUAACACUGACGCUCAUGCACGAAAGCGUGGGGAGCAAACAGG
rnacentral:rRNA from 1 species